rnacentral:sRNA from 1 species
UACCGACGGGACCUUCGCGGCGGCGGC